rnacentral:lncRNA from 1 species
UUUUUCUUUCUUUCUUUUUUUUUUUUUUAUGGCCACACCUAAGUCAUAUGGAAGUUCCCAGGCUAGGGUCAAAUCAGAGCUACAGCUGCUGGCCUACACCACAGUCACAGCAACGCAGGAUCCCAGCCGCGUCUGCGACCUACACCACAACUCACAGCAAUGCCGCAUCCCUGACCAACUGAGCAAGCCCAAGGAUCCAACCCAUAUCUUGAAGAAUACUAGUCAGAUUCAUUUCCACUGAGCCACAACAGGAACUCCCUUGUUUGUUCUUUUGUUUUUUGAUUAUAAAAUUAGUAUCUUUUCAUUUUAGAAAAUUUGGAAAAAAGCCAAAAUCUUAAAACUCAGAGAUAACCUCCCCAAAAGAUACAUUUCCUCUCAAGAUUUAGACAUAUUUAGAUUUCUUUUCUUUUUACAUAAGUGGCAUCAUCUCCUUAUGAAGUUCUCUAUUCUGCUUUUUCACUGUUAUGAGUAUUUGCGUCAUUAAAAAGUCUUCAGAAACAUAAUUUUAAUGACUGUGUAAUAUUGCAUUUUAUGGAUAUAUCAUAAACUUCUUAAUUAUUCACCUCUUCUUGGCUAUUUAUGUUGUUCCCAGGCUGUUGCUUCUUUUUUUUGGGGGGGGUGAUAUUGUAAAUAGUGCCAUGAUAAAGAUUAUCAUGUAAAACUUUGUCCACGUCUGUGACUGUUUCCUAAGGAUGCAGUAUUGGUUCUGAAACUGAUAGCUGUGAACCCCCCUUUUUUUUUUUCAAGUUUUCCAUAUAUAUUGUUGUUUUUCAGGAAUAUUUUGCCAAUUUAUAUUCAGCCAGCUGAGGCAUUUUAAACAUCCUGAAAACCAUUGUUGUAAAUGAUGGCUGCACCUCCCCCCACAAUGAAAAUGCCCACGGAACAUAGGGAGACAGUCAGAUUCCAUAAUCAAAAGAUUCAUUGCAAAUGGCUGGUGACAGACCCCUGCAUUCAGCAAACCAGAGCCUCUGCAGAGCCCUGGUAGAGGGAGAGUGCAGUGGAAGUCAUCUGAAAUUAAGACGAGGCCACCACUGGCAUACGAAGAGCGGUAGUAAAGUUUAUCAAUAUAUACCUAUACCUUUGGUAGAAGCGCUUUGUUAUUGAACCUCACCUGCAUCCUAAAAGCAUUGGAGGUGGGCCUCGGUCAUCUGAGACGGUUCCUGCUGGAGUUUUCCCUGAGCUUCCCAAAGCGGAGUUUAUUAUCGCCAUGGUCAGUGGGGCCUAACCACUCCAUCUCUACUUGAUUACUGAUAAUAUCGUGAAUAUCUUUAUACAUCAGUCAAGCUUUUAUGAAAGGCAGUAAAAUAUGUAAAUGGUUAAGAGCAUAGACGCUGGAGCCAGACUGCCUGAGGUUUAACUCCUAGCUCUACCCUUUAAUAGCUGUGUGAUCUUGGCAGGUUACUCAGUACAUCUGUGCCUUAGUUUUCCCGUCUGUAAAUUGAGGAUAAUAAUAGUUCUUCCCUUUGGAACUGUCAUGAACAGUAAAUGGGUUAAUAUAUCUAAAAUACCAAGAACUUAGUACUUAGUACUCAGACCCAUGAUAAAUAUUAUAUGUGAAUUUCCUGUUUUUGCUAUUUCAAAUUGUUAAGAAUUAACUUCAAUAGACAAUGUUAGAUAAUAAAAAUAUUCUAACACAGUUGCAUGGGUUCUGUGGAUAAAAGGAAGACAAUUUUUCAAAUAAGUUCCCAAGAGCAUUCUAGUUCUGUCUUGGGAAGGAUAGAUAGAUGGAUAGAUAGAUAGAUGGAUAGAUAGAUUAGAUCGAUCGAUCGAUCGAGUAGACUUUUUAUUACAACUGUACUUAAUAAAUUUUGCGUCUCUCAGAAAUAUUUGAAAACCAUUUUAUAUGAGACAAAGGCCGUUAGUAUUACCAUCUCAUCAGAUCCUUCUCCCUCUAAUAACCAAAAAAUUCUAUACUUUAUCAUCAAACACUAAAAAAAAAAAAAAAAAAA